UACGAAGGGGGCUAGCGUUGUUCGGAAUUACUGGGCGUAAAGCGCACGUAGGCGGAUUGUUUAGUUAGGGGUGAAAUCCCCGGGGCUCAACCCCCGGAACUGCCUCUAAUACUGACAGUCUAGAGUCCGAGAGAGGUGAGUGGAAUUCCGAGUGUAGAGGUGAAAUUCGUAGAUAUUCGGAGGAACACCAGUGGCGAAGGCGGCCUCCACUGGCUCGGUACUGACGCUGAGGUGCGAAAAGCGUGGGGAGCAAACAGGAUUAGAUACCCCCGGUAGUCC
rnacentral:rRNA from 1 species